CAGUAGCCGCGGGAAUACGUAGGGGGCAAGCGUUAAUCGGAAUUACUGGGCGUAAAGCGUGCGCAGGCGGUUUGUUAAGACAGAUGUGAAAUCCCCGGGCUCAACCUGGGAACUGCAUUUGUGACUGGCAGGCUAGAGUAUGGCAGAGGGGGGUGGAAUUCCGCGUGUAGCAGUGAAAUGCGUAGAUAUGCGGAGGAACACCGGUAGCGAAGGCAGCCCCCUGGGCCAAUACUGACGCUCAUGCACGAAAGCGUGGGGAGCAAACAGGAUUAGAUACCCGUGUAGUCCCUGUCUCUUAUAC
rnacentral:rRNA from 1 species